UGAGGCAAAUCAUAAUUUUUUAAACACACAUUUAACACGGCUGCACUUUUAGAGAAAACAGAGUCAAAUAUUAAGACACGUUUGAAUAAUUUAUCAUUUAGACUUUUAAAAUUCAGAGAUUUAAUAAGUUUGAAUCUAAAAUGUGUAAUAAGUCAGAAAUAGCAGGUUUGUUGUAGUUUAACUGAAGAAAACAAUGAAACUACGUAACAGAGAGAAGGACGCAAGGAUGUGAGAAAGGAACUAGGAGGUAGGAGGUAGGAGGCGAGUUUAGGACAGAGAAAUGUGACACGGCCGAAAAAACAGAUCUUCUCCUCCUCCGGGUCCUGGAGGGUCUGCAGAGUCCUGGGUCAGGUCUAAGUCCGGACCAGGGUUUAAACCAGGUCUAAACCAGGUCUAAGUCUGGACCAGGGUCUAAACCAGGUCUAAACCAGGUCUAAGUCUGGACCAAGGUCUAAAUCAGGUCUAAACCAGAUCUAAACCAAAUCUAAACCAGGUCUAAACCAGGUCUGAACAAGGUCUAAACCACAAACAAAGCUAGGUCUAAAUUAGGUCUAAACCAGGACUAAACCUGGACAAAAGGCAGGUCUAAACCAGGUCUAAACCAGGACUAAACCAAGACUUAACCAGUACCUAAGGCAGGAUCAAAACAGGACUAAACCAGGACCAAAGGCAGGUCUAAACCAGGACUAAACCAGGACUAAACCAGGACCAAAGGCAGGUCUAAACCAGGACUAAACCAGGACUAAACCAGGACCAAAGGCAGGACUAAACCAGGACCAAAGGCAGGUCUAAACCAGGACUAAACCAGGACCAAAGGCAG
ensembl:lncRNA